rnacentral:lncRNA from 1 species
GCGGGUCUCAGACUUCUACAAAAGGAUUUUCCCAUAAAGCUUGGUUUGGUUCUCCUGACUCUGGACUCUCAUCAUGCUGUCACGCGCUCACUGAUUGGGCCCGGCGUUGUCACGAGAAGUCAGACGGCACAACAGUCCACGCAAGCUUGUCUGCUCCUCAUCACAGUGUUUGAAAGCAGACUGCGGAUGUUUGAUUGGGAGCGCGUCUGUGUCCGGAUAUGUACGUACUUUCACGGACAAACCUUGAAGCCUUUGCUGACAAACACAUCCUUUGGGGGAAAGUCAUAUUUUGUGAAUCCUAGUCAGGAAGACUUGGGUAUGGGGGCUUGCCCUUGGGAGGCGGAGGCAGAAAGAGAACCGCGUGUUUGAGGCUAGGGUGGGCUACACAGUGAGAUGCUGUCUCAUAAGAAAAAAAAAUAGAAGAGAGGAGGAAUGAUGGGAGAGAGAAGAAAAUAGACAGAGGGAGGGAGGGAGGGAGAGAGAGAGAGGGGGAGAGAGAGUGAGAGAGAGAUCAUAUGAAGACAGAGACCGUGUGAAGACAGAAUUCUUCAUGCUUCCAAACAAAGUUGUUUACUUGAAUUGGAGUGUCAUGGUGAUGCUUCGUGGAGUGUGUCCUCAAGCCACCCCCACUCCCAUCUCAGUGCUUGUCUCCGAGGAGAGCACCCUUUGUUAUACCUCAAGUUCAUUGCUAUCUCCAAGGGGACAGCCAGCUGAGUACACUCCCUCUCCAGAUCAAGAGCCACUGUGUAGGCGGUGGGCAUUCAGACCUCAGGAUGCCUUUGAGCUCCAGAGAAAGCCAACCCCACUGUGCCUGAGAACAAGAGCGGAAGGGGUGGAAGCUCACGAUGCCCCUCCUCCCUGGAGGCUUUCAUUCUGCUGAGGAGCAGAAUGUAGGGAGGCAGCCAGUGUCUGGGAGGAGCCACAGAAAGAAAAAAAAAAAAAACAUCAGGGACAACAGGCUCUUUUUUAAAAUGUCACUCAAUUAUCCAAACGCACUAUGGCAGUUUGUGGCCCACAGUUCUGAGGGAAGUAGAGACGGUGCUGAGUGACAUGAAGAGGGCAAUGAUGGCUAGGCAGAUUGACACAGACACAGGAGGAGGAAAGGCAAUGGUGUUCCCUUCACUACCAUGCCACACAAACCUACGAGGCCAUACCCGAUGUUAUUUAUGUUUUAUCUUCAACUAUGUGUUGGGAUGGUCUGCUCGCCUACACGGGCAUGAGUGGAUGCCUGAGGUUGAUAUUGGUGUGUCUUCCUCAAAUGCUUCUCACACCUUGAUUUUUGAGACAGGGUCCCUCACUGAGCCUGAAGCAACUGGCUGACCAGUGAGCCCCCAGGAUCUCUGUCCCCCUAAGCUGGCAACCUAGGUACUUGCUACUGUGCCUGGAUUUUACGUGGAUUUCAGGGAUCCGGACUCAGGACGCCAGGCUCUCUUGCUAAGCCAUCUUUCUAGCCCUGUAUAUAACUUCUGUUUUAACCUGAGAAAAUGUUAUUCGAAUCCCUGCUAAAACGCUUCACCUUCUACCUCAGAGCUGGAAACCAGGGAGAUCUAGGUAAGUCCCUUUUCUUGUCUUCUGAUGGAAACUUCAGGCUAAGCACACACAGCUAUGUGUCCCCUGCUCGACCUGUUACUUCCAGGGAGCUGCGAUGUGCCUUUCUUCUAACUGCAAGGCCAUGUUUUCUUUGUGUGGGUUUAAUCUUCUCACACUACCAUAAUUCAUUUGCAUAUUGUUCCUGAUACCUCCCUACAUAUCUGGGUUCAUACUCUCUAUAACACAUAGAAUUUAGCUAGGGCCAGUGCAGGCUGCCCAGCCUCAGCUGGGACUGGUUUUUUG